UUCUUAUAAUUCUUCUAUUUUAACCUCUCUGCGUCACCGGAGAAGAACGAAGCAGAGUCCACCAUGCCGAUGGUGAGCGUAGGACGGGAUCGUCUAUUCGCCGCCUUAGGCAAACCUUACACUAAAGAAGAGCUAAAGGAUGAGGAAGUGAGCGAGAGAGCUAAGAGAGAGUUCGAUGAUGACUGCUUCCGCUUCGGAAUUGAGCUCGACGACGUCACGACUGAGAAAGCGAUUGUGAGGAAAGAGAAGCAUCUGGAUGAAGCAGAAGCCGACGAAGAUGAGGAAGUUAUUUACAAAAUCGACAUUCCUGCUAAUAGAUAUGAUUUGCUUUGCCUCGAAGGGCUGUCACAGGCUCUCCGUAUCUUCGAGAAGAAACAGGAGGUUCCUCAGUACAAGUUGGCGAAUAUUAGCAAGGAGUCGAUGAUGAAAAUGCAUGUCACACCAGAGACAUCUUUGAUUCGACCUCAUGUUGUUUGCGCUGUUUUGAGAGGAGUGACUUUCACUGAAGCAAGCUAUAACAGCUUUAUUGACCUCCAAGAUAAGCUGCAUCAGAAUAUCUGCAGGCGGCGAACCCUUGUUGCCAUUGGGACUCAUGACUUGGACACAGUACAAACUCCUUUCUCAUAUGAGGCUUUGCCACCUUCAAGCAUAAGUUUUGUGCCACUGAAGCAGGUGAAGAAAUUUAGAGCUGAUGAGCUCAUGGAAUUUUACAAGUCAGAUUUAAAGCUGAAGAAGUUCCUCCACAUAAUAGAGAACUCCAAGGUUUAUCCUGUUAUAUAUGAUAAAAACAGAACUGUUUUGUCGUUACCUCCAAUUAUAAAUGGUGCUCAUUCAGCAAUCACUUUAAAGACGAAGAAUGUUUUUAUAGAAUGUACAGCUACUGAUUUGACAAAGGCCAAGAUUGUUCUGAACACAAUAGUGACAGCAUUUUCAUCAUAUUGUGAAAGAAAGUUUGAGAUUGAACCUGUUGAAGUGAUAUAUCCUGAUGGAAAAUCAUACGUGUAUCCUGAUUUAUCAGUCUACACCAUGGAUGUUUCUCUGUCAUACAUUAAUAGCCGCAUUGGACCAUCUUUGGGGGCUGAUGAGGUCAUUGAUCUGUUGAAGAAAAUGCAAUUGGGGGCUCAGCAGUCUGUAUCAGGGAAUAAGUCGGACACUAUCACAGUACUUGUACCACCAACAAGAAGUGACAUCCUUCACCCUUGUGAUGUCAUGGAGGAUGUUGCAAUUGCAUAUGGUUAUAACAAUAUACCACCGACAAUGCCUGCUUCUUCAUCUGGAUCUUUGAAACCACUUGUCUUGAAUGAGUUUAGUGAUAUGCUCAGAUCCGAGAUUGCAAUGAAUGGGUAUACAGAGGUUUUGAAUUUCACACUGUGCUCUUGGAAAGAGAACUUUGACCUGUUGCGUCGUAAAGAUGACAAAUCAAAGGCUGUUGUUGUUGGAAAUCCUCGCUCUUCUGAUUUUGAGCUUGUACGGACCACUUUGAUGCCUGGCAUAUUGAAAUCCGUGGGUCACAACAAAGAUCACCCAAAGCCCAUAAAGGUUUUUGAAGUGGGUGAUGUUGCUAUAUUGGAUGAGACAAAAGAUGUUGGUGCAACAAACCGGCGCCAGUUAGCAGCGUUGUACUGUGGUGCUAGCUCUGGAUUUGAGUUAAUUCAUGGGUUAGUAGAUAGAAUCAUGGAAGUACUUGGGGCUGUCUUUGUUCCUAAGGGAGACGCUGUUAGUGGCGACACUGCAAGCUAUUACUUACAGCGUGCAGAGGAGCCUGAGUUUCUGCCCGGUGUACAAGCAAGCAUCUAUUACAAAGGGAAGCAAAUUGGAACUUUUGGUGUUGUGCACCCUGAGGUCUUAAGGAACUUUGAUAUUCCUGAUCCAUGCUCAUAUGUGGAAAUGAACAUGGAGAGUUUCUUGUAGUUAUAAUGUACGCUUCUGAAGGCUGAUUUUGGCUUACAGGCACCAAAAGGAAAUUAUGGAGACAACAUGCAUAGCAUUUCUCUGGAGUGUUGUCAAUUAUUGUUCAAUUGAUGGGAUUGGAAUUGCCUUUUCCAACGGUCUUCCAGCUUUGUACCAGAGAAGCCUGCAAAAAGAGAGUACAUUAACACAAACAUGGAGAUGCAUUGUAAUAGAAUUUCGCUGUUUCCCACUAAUAGAUUCC